UCUCCGUAGGUGAACCUGCGGAGGGAUCAUUACAGAGUUCAUGCCCUACCGGGUAGGUCUCCCACCCUAUGUUAUUAUUACUUUGUUGCUUUGGCGGGCCGUUAGGCUCCGGCCCGACUACCGGCCCCGGCUGGUAAGCGCCCGCCGGAGGACCCAAAACCCUGAAUAUUAGUGUCGUCUGAGUACUAUAUAAUAGUUAAAACUUUCAACAACGGAUCUCUUGGUUCUG
rnacentral:misc_RNA from 1 species